CAAGUCGAACGAUGAAGUUCCUUCGGGAAUGGAUUAGUGGCGAACGGGUGAGGAACACGUGAGAAACCUGCCUUUCAUUCUGGGAUAACACCGGGAAACCGGCGCUAAUACCGGAUACUCCGUCUUGGCGGCAUCGCCGAGCCGGGAAAAAAUUUUGAUGAAAGAUGGUCUCGCGGCCUAUCAGCUAGUUGGUGAGGUAAAGGCUCACCAAGGCGACGACGGGUAGCCGGCCUGAGAGGGCGACCGGCCACACUGGGACUGAGACACGGCCCAGACUCCUACGGGAGGCAGCAGUAGGGAAUAUUGGGCAAUGGGCGCAAGCCUGACCCAGCGACGCCGCGUGAGGGAUGAAGGUCUUCGGAUUGUAAACCUCUUUCAGUAGGGAAGAAGCGAAAGUGACGGUACCUAAAGAAGAAGCACCGGCUAACUAUGUGCCAGCAGCCGCGGUAAUACAUAGGGUGCAAGCGUUGUCCGGAAUUAUUGGGCGUAAAGAGCUCGUAGGUCGUUUGUCGCGUCGAUUGUGAAAAUCUGAGGCUCAACCUCAGACCUGCAGUCGAUACGGGCAAACUAGAGUGUGGUAGGGGAGACUGGAAUUCCUGGUGUAGCGGUGGAAUGCGCAGAUAUCAGGAGGAACACCAAUGGCGAAGGCAGGUCUCUGGGCCAUAACUGACACUGAGGAGCGAAAGUGCGGGGAGCGAACAGGAUUAGAUACCCUGGUAGUCCGCACCGUAAACGGUGGGCACUAGUUGUGGGAACCUUCCACGGUUUCCGCGACGCAGCUAACGCAUUAAGUGCCCCGCCUGGGGAGUACGAUCGCAAGAUUAAAACUCAAAGGAAUUGACGG
rnacentral:rRNA from 1 species